rnacentral:rRNA from 1 species
UACGGGGGGGGCAAGCGUUGUUCGGAAUUACUGGGCGUAAAGGGCUCGUAGGUUGCCAACUAAGUCAGACGUGAAAUCCCUCAGCUUAACUGGGGAACUGCGUCUGAUACUGGAUGGCUUGAGUUUGGGAGAGGGAUGCGGAAUUCCAGGUGUAGCGGUGAAAUGCGCAGAUAUCAGGAAGAACACCUAUGGCGAAGGCAGCUCUCUGGGACGGUACUGACGCUGAGACGCGAAAGCGUGGGGAGCGAACAGG